rnacentral:snRNA from 1 species
GUUCUCACUUAGGCAGCACAUAUACUAAAAUUGGAAUGAUAAAGAGAUUAACAUGGCACCUGCACAUGGAUGACAUGUAAAUUUGUGAAGUGUUCCAUAUUUUU